rnacentral:rRNA from 1 species
UACGUAGGGGGCAAGCGUUGUCCGGAAUCAUUGGGCGUAAAGAGCGUGUAGGCGGCCCGGUAAGUCCGCUGUGAAAGUCCAGGGCUCAACCCUGGGAUGCCGGUGGAUACUGUCGGGCUCGAGUCCGGAAGAGGCGAGUGGAGUUCCUGGUGUAGCGGUGGAAUGCGCAGAUAUCAGGAGGAACACCAAUAGCGAAGGCAGCUUGCUGGGACGGUACUGACGCUAAGGCGCGAAAGCGUGGGGAGCAAACAGG